GUCAGACUAGUUUUAGUCCCUUGGGUCCAAGCACCCUCUAAAGAACAACUCUACGUUGUCUACGCGUCUUUCUCCACGGCAACUCUCCAUAUUCUUGAUGCCAAUUACUCUCCCACAAUUGAUUCCUGUCUCCCUCUUCACCUUCUCCACUGAAUGCCAUUCUUCUACCUCCCAUUAUUACCUAUUGCAGCAAAGAAGCGGAAAAUUGGGUUCUCCCUCCUCACGUAUGAGUAUCCCGAUUAGUUCCGUGUGGCUCAUUGGUUCUACCUUUGUGUAAACUCCGGCCGAUCUCGCCUUUGGAGUUCAAGAAUGCGUCUAGGAGGAGUAGGUCGUGAGGAUUCCACAAACGGUCGCCCGAGCUGUUCGCAAAUCGGGGAGGGACAUUAACAGGUGGAUUUUGUCUAGGCACAACUUGGAUGCAGAUGUCCCUUGGGGGCCAUAAGGGAGACGAUGACAACAAUCCAAAGAGGGUCAAUCGCGAGGCACCAGUUGACCAUGUACCAGGAAAGCUAGCAGUGAGAUUGAUGGGGCGAAUCUGAAGUCCCUAUUGUUCAAUCACAUCACAUGUUGGUGUCGCGCGUCGUAGACACAUAUGCAGUCAUUAUCGUUGGUUGCGACCUGUUUUUGUCCCCUUUCCGUACCAGUUUCUUCCUGAUCCCUCCUACCCGAUCGACUUUCUCUACUCUGAUGCUUCUUUACUGUAUCCUGCACUUAACUGUUCAUUAGUUUUCUUGCUCUUUCCUUGAGUUUUUUCAGAGACGAGUCGAAGUUGGAAGUAUGGGUCACACCCGUGUGUUAUCAUACAAGUAUUUGCCAAACUCAAUAUUUCAGCAGGUUAUCAGCACUGUAGUUCUUUUUUUUUUGGAAAAGGAGGAACAAAGCCCCCGGCCUCUAUCCUUUGCAAUAAUAUCUGCACCGGACCAAAUUCAUGAUUCAUCUCAGUUCCUUAAUCCAUGUUCAUUGUAACUUCAUUGAGUCUCUCAUUUUGAUUAUUUAUGUAAUUUGUGCUUGAUCUUAAACCAUUGCCAAUUGGAGAUUUGGAUUGAGUGAUCAGUAAUGCCACGGUUCAUGACCAUACAGUUACUAGUUUUAUUGAGAAGAGAAGCUUUGAUCUAUACUUCUAUUAUUGCUUUUCCUGUACUCUAUGCAGAUUAUGUUCUCUGUGUGGAUUCUUUUCUAAUGUCCAUCAAGGAGUUGUUUGAUUAAAAUCGAAGCAGGUCAGUCAUCUUGCUUAAUAUGUAUUAUUGUCAUCUAGCAUUUUUUUUAGUCUGAUGCACAUAUUCAAAAGGCUUGCAAUUGCAAAAGUUUUUUCCCAACAACAAUACACACACACUACCAAUUGUAAUAUGACCACAUUCUUAUUCUUCCAAUUUAUGGUUAUAUUAUUCUUACAUUUGUGUAAGUCCAUCUCUCAUUUUUUUCAGCUACCCUAAAUCUCCUUGAGAGUAACAAAUAACAUAUGCAGGUGAUGCUAAAACUGGUGUAAACGAAGAUCGUGUUUAUAGACUUGCCAACACAUGGUGUAUUUUUGGGUAUGUGUAGGUUGUCUUUCUGGCAAGUAAAAGUAUUUGUAUUGUUUUGGUUGUUUGUUGUAAAUUGAUUUCUAUAUAUGCUAAUAUGGAAUUUGGUUAUCCCAUUUAGUUUAUUAAAUUCUCGCCAUCAUUUUUGUUGUACAUUUGUUCGUA
rnacentral:lncRNA from 1 species